CAAACCACGAUUUCACUGUUUUAAUUAUUUCGGAUAGACUAUCUUAAGUUGUGUUUCAAACGUGUGCAUAAUUUACUAAAUUAAAUAUUUUGGCUACAUGGCUUCUUUGCCUCUGUGGUAUAGAGCACUUACUUAAAAUGAAUAAUAACUGUGACAAAAUUAAUUUAUUGAUACUCCAUAUAAAAGUAAUACAAGUGUAUUGUGUAUUUAUAUAUAGGUACAAAAAUCAAAAUCAAUGUAGGUCUGAUUAAAAUUUGACCUGAGUAAAUAAAAAUUGGAUUAUUUAUAUUCAUGUUGUUCACAUACUUCAUGGUUAAAAAGGUACUUUAUUCUUUAAUAGAAACAAAUUGAGAAAAAUGGCUACGAUAAAAAAAGAUUAUGAAAUAAUAACAAAUCUCAUAAAACAAGAAAUCGACAAACAUUAAAUAAGUCUGAAAAAAAAUGAAGAAAAAAAAGAAAAAAUCUAAGGUACAAAAUGAUAUACAUUUGAAAACUAUAAUGGUACAUUUAAAAGAGAAAAGAUUUAUACUGAGACUUCUGAUGACGAUGAAAAACAUUUGAAAAAAGAAAAAUUAAGGGCUUCUUAUUUAAACAAAGAUCAAAAAUAAAAAAGAAAAAAAAGAAGAAAGAUGUAAUAAAGGUACAAACUGAUUUGGAGGAAAAUAAAGAAUUAACUUUAUAAAACUGUUAAUAGCAUUAAUAUGAAGACUAGUCCAAUAAAUUACGAGGAGGAUACAACAAACCUGUGUCUCGUACAGAAAAAAUGUCACAAAAAAAAUCAAAUAAACAUAAACUACUGACAACUAAUAAAGAGUAU
rnacentral:misc_RNA from 1 species